UAGACAGAGAAGGGACGAAUCGCUAAGAGACUAUGUAGCAAGGUUCAAUGCCGAGAAAGUGUCCAUUAUAGCCUACAAAGUGGACACAACCGUCACAGCCUUCCGAAAAGGCCUUCUGGUAGAAUCUGAUUUAUAUAAAGAAUUAACUAGAUACCAUUGCAGGACUAUGGAGGAUGUGCUUACCAAAGCAUGGGCUCAAAUCAAAUGGGAGGAAGAUGAAUCGAACAGACAACCGAUCUCCAACUACUCAAGUUCUCGUGAGAAUCGGGGGCCAAGAUGAGUAGAGGGUAAGUCAUCUUAUCAUCUUGAACCAAACCCCACCAACAGAUCUAGAUCAUUUUAAGGUAGUGGAAGAGCUCCGCCCCAACGAUCACGUGAUUACCCGAUCAUGUGGACAGUCAAUCGGGGGGGUUUACCGAGUUUCGGAUUCAAAAAAAUGAAACCGAACCCAGACCCGAAUAGGACACGGGUUGGCGGGUUUCAGUUGGCCGGGUUGACUGGGUUGGCGGGUUGACCCGGUCAACUCUUUAAAAAAAUAUUUUUUUAUUCAAAUAAUUAUUUCUUUUAUUUUUUAUUUAUUAAAUUAAACAUAUAUAAUAUAACAAUUUUAGGAUUUUUAUUUUUAAUUCUUUUUAUUUUUUUAAUUAAUAUAUAUAUAAAAUGUAAUAAAAAAAAUAAUAUAUAUAUAUAAUAUAUUAAAUAUACAGGUUGGCGGGUGGGUUUGGGUUCAACCUGAAACCCGAUACUCCUAAAAACUCAAUCUGCAAACCCGCUCGAAUAUUUUUUUUUUUAAAAAAAUUUGUGGGUUCACCGGUUCGAGUUCGGACGAGUUGCUCGAGUUCGGGUCGAACCUGCUCGAAAUGUUCAGUACUACAGAAAAAUAAUAAAAUACGGUAUUUAAAAUUAAUAAUAACAAAAAUAUAGUAUAAUAGAUACCAUAAAAUAGUAAAAGAAAUAACAAAACCCAUAAAAUGCGGGCAAAUAUUUUUCAAACGAAGUUUAAAAUUCCCCGAGUAUUUUUCUCAAAAAAAAAAAAAAAAAAAAAAUACUAGCAGAUUGUUUGGUAUCCUAAAGUUUUCAAUAAAUUGAGGGAAGAGCAUAAGGCGGCAAAAUUGUUUCAUUCCAAAACAUUCGGUUCUUCUACAUAAAAUAUCUUUCAACACCCUUUGCGAAUAUGUGUUUCAUUUGUCUCCAACGCCUUCCAAACAGCAUCAAGUUUGUGGCUUGAAACCAAGAUUAUAAAGUUCACUAGGAGGAAAAACAAGCUGAGUUUAUGGUGAAAUUAAUCGCCUUGCAUUUACGGUAGAUCUUCAACUUGCUCCAUCCAUGGCUACCAGAUUACUGGAGUUCAAUGGUUUUGUCCGUAAGAGUAAGAUUUAGUGCAGCUUUUGCAAUCCUUCUUGUUCAAGUUUCUUACAUUUAAAACUUAAAAGUCUGAGACUUUGUUUUCACUUAGGAUUGAAGUUUAGUUGACUGUUACUAAUCUUAAUCCAAUAACUUAUUUAUAUAUGUAUCCAAUAUAUAUAAAUAUUACUAACUCCAAAAAUGCAUUUUUUUUGACAUAUGAGUUAAUUAUUUUCUUCCACGAAUUCCUUAGUAGUUAUUUUCGUUAAAUGUCUCACAGAAAUAACAUUUUUUUUUGUUCAUCAAUGUGAGAGAUAAUAAGCACAUAUAUGGUAUUUCUACCCAUUGUCUUCUCUAACAUACCAGCCAUGUAGUAUGAACUCAUUAAUGAUUUCGUACAUCAUGUGAUAUUUUGUUUAGGAUGAAUCAAAACUACUCAAUUAUUCUUCCCUUUGGGGAGUGACAUUGAAUAAUGAAAAUGUGCUUUGCUUAGCAAAGUUGAAAGAAUAACAAUGUUUAUCUAGUCUUCUACAAAUUACUUCCCACUUAUUAUGGGUAUAGCUUGUUGAACAUGCUCUGUGCUCCCUGCUGGCCAAAAUGUGGCAAAUCCAUUUCAGGUUAGAGGAAGGAUGGUUGAUGAUGUACAACAAUCUGUUAGUGACCCUAUUUUACCCUGCAAGUAGUCUUUAUCUAUUUUGCACAACAGACCCUUAUUUUGUACCUCCUGCUGGUAACCAUAUGACACUCAGUCUCUUUCAUCUUUUGUCAUCAAUUUUGUCUUGAUCAACUUACUUGCGGGGAAAUGCAAUCUGGCUAUCAAAGGUCGAGGUGCCCUAGUUGUCAUGUCAAAUCCCCUCACGCAAACAAAUCCUGCAAAUAAAUUUGUGAAAAUUUAACAUGUGUUAAUCUACAGAUGAUGAAAAGUCAUUUUUUUUUCAAAGAACCAUUGCAACUUGAAUGCUUUGCAUGGUGUUAGGGAUAGUAAAGUGAUUGCUCAUGUCAUGGAGAACAAGUAUUUGGUUGGUACUACAUUGGGUAGAAAGUACUAAAUAAGCGAUCUUAGGUAUGCAGUUAAGUAAUGUAGAAGUUAGAAUAGAUGAUGUUAUGUGAACCAGAGUGGGUGAGAUGCUUAUUGUUGUCAUUAAUUUUUUUUUUCUUUCAUACAGUCAGCACAUUUGGUGCUCUUAAGAAAUAAAUAACAGAGGCCGCUCUGACCUUCAAGUUUACUGCAUCCUAGCUUCAAUGGCUUGACGAGAAACUUAAUGAUAACAAGAAUGUUUUCACCAGUGUGUUUUAAGGUGGUAUAUCAAGGUUAUUACUUAUUGUUAAGAGGUUCAUCAAAAUUUUAUCGAGGAAUUCUUAUAAUUUGUUAAUAUGCCAAGUUGCCAACUCAAACUCCAAUAACUGUGAUAAAUGCUUAAAUGUUACUAAAGAAAAUAGUAUAAUGACCAUAGUUGAGGGAGAGUGGUAAUAUGUACCUUUCCAGAAACAGAACUGAAUUCCUUGUGUUGAUAGGCCUGAUACAUGUUUUGUUUGUCAUUUACUUUAUUUUUUCAUUUUGGAAAAUUAUCUAGUGUUUAUAAACCUUUAAUACAAUACCUUUGAAAAUUGUUGAUACGGAAGUUCCAAAGUAUACCAUCCUUCUUGGCAAAUUCCAUAUCCACGCUCUAGGAACAUUGAUUGGAUUGAGACUUGAAUCAUGAUCUGCAAACACCUGCAAGUUGAUACAAUUGGACAAAAAGAUAAAUGCUCUUUGGUCUCACAGGGGUAAAUAAAAAAUAUAUUCUUGUUCAAUUAGCUGGGUUGAAUGGGUGCAGGGUAGGUCACACAGGUGUUUCUUCCCCAUCAAGUAAGGACACAUAAAUCUAUCGUAACAAAAUUUGCUUGUGACUUCUUUUUAGGCUUAAGAAAUAUGUUUCUCUAUAUUUACUCAACUCGUACUGAUAUAUCUUUAUCUUUACAAUGGUGUGUAGCAAGUAAUUUCUUUUUUCAGGAUGUAAUGUAAGAGCUAGCAUAUUUUACUUGGAGAGACUUACCUCGUUAACUUGAAAGUAUGUGCCAUUAAGUGGAAAGCUUCCUCUCAUUGCUGUUCUACAAGGUAUCUGGAGUGAAGUCAUAAAACUUCAGUAAGCAACUGAAAGAAGCCUAUUUGUGCUACUUCUGAAAUUGUGUAUGUAUGUAAUCAAUAAGGUAUUUUCUUACCAAAAUUGUCCCUCUUACGGUUUGGGAAUUUGUUUCUCUAAUACUAUUGCAUGAAAAACAUGUCUUCUCAUCACAUAAUUUGUCUGGUUGGUCGGAACUGCAACUUCUUGCUGAUGGUUGAGUGGAAUUUGCUGUCUCACCUAUUGAAAUUGGCAAAAUAAAAAGCGGUAUUAAUUGAAAUCCAAUUUUUCUUCGUAGAAUUUGGGCAAAAGCUAGGCUAUCCACUUAUUAAUAUUCUUUUUUGCGGCGUUUGAGUGGUCCAGGGUAAAUCUUUCUUUCUUUGUUUUCUAAAGUUAUUAGCAAUAUUACAUACCUGGUGUCCAUAUAGCAAGAAGAUAAGGACUUGGGUCAUCUGGUUCUCGUUUCUCAAGCUGUUUAAAUUCAAUGUAAAUGCUCAGCUUUAAUGAUAUGAGUAGAAUCAUUGAUAUAAUUCAGUUAAUAAGUCUAUAGAUAGAAAUUAACUAACCUGUUCCAAUAAAGGAUGUGAAUCUGGUAGUUCAUACCUGCAUCAGAUCAGUUUGUUGAGAAGCUAAAAUGUGCCACAUCUCUUAAGAAUUACUCUGUAAAUGUAACUCCAUUGUGUUGCUAGUAUAGUUUUCUUAACACAGCUUUCAAGAAUAUUAAUUGGGCAGUGGCUAUUAAUACUAAUUCAGGAAUAGAGAUUAUUACUGGUUUAAGCUUUAGCGUGCUAAAAACUGACUUCGUAUGCUACGUAAGAAUGUACUUACACUUGGUGUUCUGUUCGGAGUCUACUGACAUUCUUCAGUUUAGGUAUAGGGAUGGAGGCAGCUUCUGGAUUCAAGGCAACUAAAGCCUUGGACAUGUCACCCUCUUGGAGCUCCAUGUUCUUUUUCAUGUAAUUUUGCUCUUCUAUGAUUGGUUCACACUUUUCAGUUUUAGAGCCAGCUUCUGCAAGUAUAUUGUUCUCUAGUGGAGGUAGUAGUGCAGUAUUCAUAACUACAGCACGAUUGUUAGCUUGUGUAGGAACACUGGAAGUCACAAUUCUUUUCUCUUCUGGGCCUGGUAGGGCCAGUCUUGCACUGCAUUAAACAUAAUUUCUAUUAGUCUUAUUGGUAACAAUUGUUGGUUGUGCAUAUCACAAAAUUUAACAAUUUUGAGAACAAAAACUAAAUUCAACUUGUUAGAUGCUUUCAUUUUAAUUCCAUAUUUCAUUUGGUUGGAAGUUUCAAAUAUCAUUUUGGGCCACAGUUGUUUGAGUCGCUCCUGGGUACCUCUACCUAGCAACUGCUAUGGUUUCCUGGUCCCCAAAUAUUGUAGGGUUAGGGGUGGGGAUCCUAGUUUCAAUUUUUUUUUUUUUUGGGCCACAGUUGUUGCAUGGCAAUGACAUUUCAUCAUUGUAUCAUGUAGAUCUUUGAGCCCAUGAUUUGUUAGGUUGAUCCUCAUAAUUUCUAUGGAAUUUCUGUGAUAAUGAAAUUUAAAAUUUACCAUAGAAAGUAUAACCUCCACCUAUUUUCUUACUAUUUUAUGUAGCUAGUGAACUUCCAGUAAUUUAAACAUGCAAGUAACAUGUAGAUAACCUGGCUGUUGUUGUAUGUGUCUAAUAAGCCUAAACAUAAGACCUCUUGUUCCAAACAACUAGUUUAAUAUGUUACUUGCUUCUUCAUUAAUUUGUGUGGUACCCGUGGUUAGUCAAACUAAAAUAGAUCAUUGCAGUUUUAUUAGGAUGUAUACCUUGCAAAAGCACUUGCGAAGUGUCUGCAUUCUCCUCUCAUGGGACAUGCAUUGCAGUUUGGUGUACUCUUUGUACAGAAGACCUGCAUAUGUAUAUUCAUCGAAGGAUGAGACCUUUUCCUUGAAAUAAUUCAAAAUGUUCAACUUAUGUAGUAAUGAUUGAUAAUUAACCUUUCCAAAUGUAAUCAUCUGGUAGUGUAGUUCAUAUCUGUAAUCAGGUAGUUUAAUAUUAGUUAAGAACAACAACUUCUAUGGAAAAUACAAGAUUUUAUUCAAUAGCAAAAUGCAUUCUUUAAGGAAAAACUUGAGUUGUUGAUGGAAUUAUGAAAAUACAGAGUUCGUUGAUCAAGUUUGCAUAAUCUUGGCCAAAGAUACUUUUGAACUGUCUCCAGCACCGGGUACCUACAGUAAAUUCUGAAAUACUAUCCCCAGUUUCAGAAGAUUUUUCUGUGAGCUUAUUGUCAUGUGGAACAGUCUCUGCAGUUGCAUCCUGCAUCUUGCCAAGUGCAUAAGAAAACUUUACACGGUUUUUUAGUGAAGUUCUUU